UCGUGGUUCCUUCUGAAAAGGCAUCCAAGAUUCAUGCUCUCAGUGCUGCACACGAAUUCCUGGGGGAGGAAUGUCUCUGGUUUCUGGGGUGCCAGGAAAGGCCAGUGUGUUGAUCCAGUCCCAUUUAUUUCAGGCAGGGCACCCAAAGGCCACUUGCUGUCAGAGCUGGUUGGAGUGGGGAUUUCACAUUAAAGGAGGUCAGCGCUGUGUUUGCUUUUUGUAUAAUGGAGUCAGAGGGUGGGGCUUGGCGCUGGUGAUGGCAGAAAUGUAGAGGUCCCCUCGCCUGGAGUUUCACACCCACACAGAGAGAGGGGAGGUCUCAGCCAGUCCACAGGGCUGGCCGUUUCUGCAGACGAUUCUAAUGCAGUGUUAGUGCUUCUGGGAUUCAGGGCUGUGACUCCAAGCAACUGUGAUAUGGUUCAAGGAGGCGGGGACAUUCUCGAUUUUCCAGGUGGGUGUCAGACUUUGGUACACUUCACUCACCAAACUCCAGCAUAAACACAGCAAGGCCUGAAGUUUCCUUGAAAACCUUCCUUGCUGACAAAUGGUGAGAGGCCCUCCACCUCCCUUUGUGAAGAACAGGGAGUCGGUGAGAACAGCCACAUAGCCCACUGCAAAUGAGUCCCCUUUGAGAAUCUCUAACUGCGCGUUCUUUGUGAUUUUAUUUAUUCAUUUGAGAGAGAGAGAGAGAGAAACAGAGAGAGCACAAGAAGAGGAAGAGGCAGAGGGAGAGGGAGAAGCAGACUCCCUGCCAAGCCAGGAGCCCAACAUGGGGCUCGAUCCCAGGACCCUGGGAUCAUGACCCAAGCCGAAGACAGAUGCCCAACCAUCUGAGCCACCCAGUACAUUUAUUGUAGGUGAAAUACAACUGGAUCUUGCUAUUUUUGUCCAACCUGGAAACUUCUGCCUUUUAAUUGAGGUAUUUAAACCAUUUACAUUUAAUGUGACUAUUAACAUGUUUAUAGUUAACUAUCUUGCCUUGUUAUUUGUCCCAUUUUUUCUUUCUUCAAGUAUUCUUCAUUUUCUGCCUUUUGAAAAUCUUUUCAUAUUUUGUUACCAUUUUUUCAUAUCUACUUUGUAGCUUAUUAGCUAUAACUCUUUGUCAUUUUAUGACUAUAACACACAUCUUUAAUUUAUUACAGUAUCCUUUAAGUGAUGUGGUACCACUUCUCAUGUUGUAUAAAAGACUUAUAUUAGUAAAUUCCAUUUCUCCCUUCCUGACCUUCCUGUAUUAUUGUCAUAUAUCUACUUUUACAUGUUGUUACAUACUAAAUAUUAUGAAUCCUUACUCGAUUUUUGUUUAAAUGGUCAAUUAUCUUAUAAAGAGAUUGAAAUAACAGGAAAAAAAAAGUAUAGAUUUACCCAUGCAUUAACAGUUCCAGUGCUCUUAUUUCCUUUGUGUAGACCCUAAUUUCUGGCAUCAUUUUCCUUCUGCCUAAAGGACUUCCUUUAUUUUUAAUUUAUUUUUAAUUAAUUUUUUUUUUUUUUUUGUAGCAUGAAUCUUCUGGUCAUCAAGUCUGAAAAAACAUCUUUAUCUGACCAUUUUUGAAAGAUUUUCUUGCUAAAUAUAGAAUUCUAGGUGACAUUGGGUGGGUUUUUUUCAUUACUUAAUAAAUGUUGCUGCACUAUCAUCUAAUUUCAAUGUUUCUGAAAAGAAACCUCAUAUCAUUCUUGUCUUUGUUCCCUGAUAUUUAACUUAAAAAAAUUUCCUCUUGUUGCUUUUAAGAUUUCUCUUUACCACUAGCUUUGAACAAUGUGAUAUGUAGUGCCUCAAUAUAGUUUAUGUUUUGGAUUUGUAGAUCUUAGAUCCAUGAAUUUAUCAUUUUUAUCAUAUUUGGAAAACCUUGGCCAUUAUUUAUUCAAAUAUUUUUUCUGACACUAAACCUCUCUUCUCCAAGGACAACAAUACCAUAUAUGUUAAACUGUGAAGUUUUCCCACAGCUCACAGAUGUACCAUUCUCUCUCUCUUUCUCUCUCCUUUCUCUUUUUCUUUCCCUCUGGGAUACUUUUUUGAUAGUUUCUAUUGGAUGUCUCUAAGUUCAUUGAUCUUUUCUGGUAUAUUUUUAAAAAUCACAAAUUGUAGUUUUCAUCUCUAAAAUUUGCUUCUCUUUGGGUAUUUUAAAAAUAUUUUCAUGUUUCUACUUAAGACUGAAUAUAUGGAAUACAGUUACAAUUACUGUUUUAAUUUCUUUGUUAAUUCUAACGUCUGUGUUGGAUUUGAGUAAUUGAUACUCUUCUUCACCAUGGGUUAUAUUUUCUUGCUUCUUUGAAUGUCUGGUAAUAUUUUAUUAAAUGCCAGAUCUUGUGAAUUUUACCAUUUGAGGUGUGGGAUAUUUUUGUAUUCUCAUAAAUAUUCCUGAAUUUUGUUCUGGAGUGUGGUUAAGUUCCUUGAAACAGUUUUAUCCCUUUGAGUCUUGCUUUUAAGAUUUGUCAGGGGGAAGGGGCGGUCAAAGUAGUGGUCAGUCUGGGGCUGAUUAUUCCCAACUAUUGAGGCAAGAUGCUCAUGUGUACUCUACCCAAUGCCCCGUGAAUCUUGAGGUUUUCCACUCUGGUUGGUGAGAAAAGGCAUUAUUUCAGUCCUAUAUGAAUGCUGGGCACAGUUACUAUCAAUUUUUUGUGUGGGAGUUUUCUCAAGUGCUUGUACUUACCAGUGCUCAGCUGAGGACUAGAGGGGGACUAUCUUCAGAUGUUUAGAGCUGUCUUUGUGUAGCUCUCUCCUCUCCAGUACUCUGUGCUGCAAACUCUAACCACAAAGUCUCCCUAGACUCUUGGCUCUAUCUCCUGAGUACACUCCACCUGCCUUCUUCUGUUGUGUCCUGGAAACUUUUCAAGGCAGAGAUGUGAGACAAAGAUAGUGCUCAUCUCACUUGUUCCCUAUUUCUCAGGGAUUAGUAUCAUUCGUUGCCUGAUAUUCAGUAUCUUGGAAUGACUGUUUCAUAUAUUUUGGUCAUUUUUUUGGUUGUUUUAGGCUGCAAUGUAAAUCCAUUUGCUGAAAUUCCAUCUUGGACAGAACUACAGGUGCUAUCAAUUCAUUUUUAAUUUCAUUAUAAAACAUUCAUAGUAUACACAGUAACAUUAAAUAGAUCUCCUUAAUCAUUCUCACCUUCUCAUUCCAAUUACUCUUCCCACGGUAUCAUCUGUCAGGAAUUCAGAAUGUGUCCUUCUACUUCCAUUUCUAUGUGUUUAUACACAAUACAGAUUUUUUAAAAUUAAGUUUUCAAUCUGGAUGCAUCUUUUCAGUGUCACUUUGUUUUUGAAAAGUCUGUGGAUAUUCUUAUGUUUAUGUCUUCCAUCUGAACAUUAUACAAAGCUUUUCAGCUCCAUAAUAAAGCAAGGUAAAUAUUUUAUAGGAGAUUUUAUUUAUAGAAAACUGUGAAGAGAAGUGACAUGUUUAUAAUAUUCAGUAAUGAUAUGCAAAAAUCUGAAUUUAAAAUGGAGAUAUCAUCACUUUUAUUUAUUUAGAUCUUUCUCUAAAGCCUUAAACCCUCUCUAAUUAUCUAUAUACAUAUCUAUAUCUAUAGAUAU